AGCGGCUUAGUCAUCAGUGUCUUAUUGCCUCCAAGUGUAAACUAGAACUCUCUCUGGGAAAAUGAGUCCUGACACCAACAGUGUGAAGAGAGUUAGGUCCUUUUGCAGGACAACAUGGAGGAACAUCAGGCCUAAAGCACCCAGUCAUGGGGACUUGGAUUGGUGACACCAUGAUUAUCUCUCCUCUCUUUCAACUCUGAAUUCUUACCCCAUUUCUUCAGGAAUCAUCUCAAGUGAACACCCCGCUCAUGGCAUCCAUUGGAGAGACAGCUUUCUGCAGGAGCAGGCUGUCCAUCAACGGCUAUGACUACAACUGCCAUGUGGAGCUGAUCAGGCUGCUGCGGCUGGAAGGGGAGCUCAACAAAGUGAGGAUGGCCCGACAGAAGAUGAGCGAGCUCUUCCCCUUGACUGAAGGUAACGCUGCCCCGGGGGUGGGGGUGAGGGGCUGCUUUUGGUUCAGAGAGCUGAGGUGAAGGAGAUAAAGGAAGCCAGCUGCUUCUCAUUUCAUUGCCUUAGACAGUGUUCUGUGCUGCAGAUUCACAUGUGGAACAUUAUGAGAAACAGUUUCUUUAACGUAAUUUAACUUCACUGUGGUCACUGUCCCAUUCCACAGAUGUGUACUUAGCCUAUGCUCAUAGUGCUAUGGAAUUGUAAAUUUAGGUAAACAUUUAUAGUUUUAAAAUCUCUUUUUAAAAAUCUUUAUGUGUAUGGGUGUUUUUGCCUGCAUAUAUGUGUAUGUGCACCAGGUGGCCAGAAGAGGGAGCCAGAUGCCCUGGAACUGGAGUUCUAGACAGUUGUGAGCCACUGUGUGGGUGCUGGGAAUCAAACCUGGGUCCUGUGGAAGAGCAUCCAGUGCUCUUAACCACUGAGCCAUCUUUACAGACUCUAAACUGAAAUAGUUUUAAAUGCAGUUGUUUCAUUUUGGUACAGUAAUUGUACAUUUUGUUUACUUCCACGCAUUUGCUUCUGAGAAAUAUACUUGUAGGAAUUGGCUCUGUGACUGGGUCUUUUUUUUUUGUUUUUUUUGAGACA
rnacentral:lncRNA from 1 species